rnacentral:rRNA from 1 species
GACGAACGCUGGCCGCGUGCUUAACACAUGCAAGUCGAACGGAAAGGCCCUGCUUGCAGGGUACUCGAGUGGCGAACGGGUGAGUAACACGUGGGUGAUCUGCCCUGCACUUCGGGAUAAGCCUGGGAAACUGGGUCUAAUACCGGAUAGGAGCCAUUUUUAGUGUGAUGGUUGGAAAGUUUUUUCGGUGUAGGAUGAGCUCGCGGCCUAUCAGCUUGUUGGUGGGGUAAUGGCCUACCAAGGCGGCGACGGGUAGCCGGCCUGAGAGGGUGGACGGCCACAUUGGGACUGAGAUACGGCCCAGACUCCUACGGGAGGCAGCAGUGGGGAAUAUUGCACAAUGGGCGCAAGCCUGAUGCAGCGACGCCGCGUGGGGGAUGACGGCCUUCGGGUUGUAAACUCCUUUCGCUAGGGACGAAGCUUUUUGUGACGGUACCUAGAUAAGAAGCACCGGCUAACUACGUG